rnacentral:rRNA from 1 species
GACGAACGCUGGCGGCGUGCCUAACACAUGCAAGUCGAGCGAUGAAGCGUCUCCUUUGGAGACGUUGAUUAGCGGCGGACGGGUGAGUAACACGUGGGUAACCUGCCUCAAAGAGGGGAAUAGCCUCCCGAAAGGGAGAUUAAUACCGCAUAAUAUGUUUUAAUCGCAUGAUUAGAAUAUCAAAGGAGUAAUCCGCUUUGAGAUGGACCCGCGGCGCAUUAGCUAGUUGGUGAGGUAACGGCUCACCAAGGCAACGAUGCGUAGCCGACCUGUGAGGGUGAUCGGCCACAUUGGAACUGAGAUACGGUCCAGACUCCUACGGGAGGCAGCAGUGGGGAAUAUUGCGCAAUGGAGGAAACUCUGACGCAGCAACGCCGCGUGAAUGAUGAAGGCCUUAGGGUUGUAAAGUUCUGUCUUCUGGGACGAUAAUGACGGUACCAGAGGAGGAAGCCACGGCUAACUACGUGCCAGCCGCCGCGGUAACAC